rnacentral:miRNA from 2 species
AAAAGUAAUUGCGAGUUUUACC